UUUUGGUGAUGGGGAGCCCAGUUUUAAGCCCAGCUCAAUGGGUAGCCUGCCAGCUUGAUAUUCACUCUUGGUUCCAUAAUUCUCAAACAUGGUAUCAGCGUAGGUCAGGCUCAAUUUCAGUUUCAAUUCGAUUUCCUGAUGUUGCUGCUACAUUCAGUUUCAGGUUUCAAGCGUCAAUCGGAUGUCCUAGUUGCCACUAGGGGGAAGUGUUGGAAUAUUACUUGUAGGAACAAGUCCCAUAUCGGUAGUG
rnacentral:misc_RNA from 1 species